rnacentral:rRNA from 1 species
CCUACGGGAGGCAGCAGUGGGGAAUCUUGCGCAAUGGGCGAAAGCCUGACGCAGCAAUGCCGCGUGAAUGAAGAAGGCCUUCGGGUUGUAAAAUUCUUUUAGUAGGGAAGAAAAAUAUGACGGUACCUACAGAAAAAGCCACGGCAAAUCACGUGCCAGCAGCCGCGGUAAUACGUGAGUGGCAAGCGUUAUCCGGAAUUACUGGGCGUAAAGGGCGUGUAGGUGGUAACACAAGUCAAAGGUAAAAACACUAAGCUUAACUUAGGAGGAGCCGAUGAAACUGUGUAACUAGAGUAUAGGAUAGGAAGAUGGAAUUAUUACUGUAGCGGUGGAAUGCGUAGAUAGUAAUAGGAAGGCCGACGACGAAGGUAAUCUUCUGGACUAAUACUGACACUGAGGCGCGAAAGCUAGGGGAGCAAACAGGAUUAGAUACCCCAGUA